AUCUAUGCGAUCUCGAUGUAACCGAAGUACAUUGCCGUCAAGUGACUGACUAGCCUGAGUCGUUCCGCUAGCGAGUCCUGGCUCCUACUGAUUGACUUGUCGGUUCAGAGUGGACUGAGCUCCGCCAGUUUAGGAUGCGUUGGAUAUCUCUCUCUGUUUGAGUCUAACGGAUGCAUAACUGCAACGGACCGUUUCAGGUGGCAGUUGACUGGGCCGUCGCCUCCAAAAGAUAACGGAGGCGCCAAAGUUACCUUCGCUGGAUUGAAAAUCAGCGGCGGGUGCAAAGGCAAAGGGUUUUUGACGCGGAGACCAACAAGUCGAGCAGGGACGAAAGUCGGGCUUAGUGAUCCGGCGGUGCUGAAUGGAAAGGCCGUCGCUCAACGGAUAAAAGCUACCCUGGGGAUAACAGGCUGAUCUCCCCCAAGAGUUCACAUCGACGGGGAGGUUUGGCACCUCGAUGUCGGCUCAUCGCAUCCUGGAGCUGAAGUCGGUUCCAAGGGUUGGGCUGUUCGCCCAUUAAAGCGGUACGCGAGCUGGGUUCAGAACGUCGUGAGACAGUUCGGUCCCUAUCUGUCGUGGGCGUAGGAAGUUUGAGAAGAUCUGUCCUCAGUACGAGAGGACCGGGAUGGACAUAUCAAUGGUGCACCAGUUGUCACGCCAGUGGCACAGCUGGGUAGCUAAAUAUGGAAGGGAUAAACGCUGAAGGCAUCUAAGUGUGAAACCCACUUCAAGAUGAGACUUCCCAUUACGCAAGUAGGUAAGACCCCUUAAAGACGAUAAGGUUGAUAGGUCAGGAGUGUAAGCAUGGUGACAUGUUCAGCGGACUGAUACUAAUAGGUCGAGGACUUAACCUA
rnacentral:ncRNA from 1 species